rnacentral:rRNA from 1 species
CGAGCAGGUGCGAAAGCAGGUCAUAGUGAUCCGGUGGUUCUGAAUGGAAGGGCCAUCGCUCAACGGAUAAAAGGUACUCCGGGGAUAACAGGCUGAUACCGCCCAAGAGUUCAUAUCGACGGCGGUGUUUGGCACCUCGAUGUCGGCUCAUCACAUCCUGGGGCUGAAGUAGGUCCCAAGGGUAUGGCUGUUCGCCAUUUAAAGUGGUACGCGAGCUGGGUUUAGAACGUCGUGAGACAGUUCGGUCCCUAUCUGCCGUGGGCGUUGGAAGAUUGAGAGGGGUUGCUC